UAAUAUAAAACGCCAAAUUUCAUUCUUGAAAACGGGGGAACCACUCUUUUGGGGUGAACUACCUUUGGUAGCGGGCUAUCUUUCGGUCCGAAUCCGUCAGCUAACUCCGUCGGCGUGGAAAGCGAGGAAGG
rnacentral:sRNA from 2 species